ensembl:lncRNA
GUCUGGGGCGGGGCCUGAGGCUGUCCGCUUCUGACCCGUGGUACCAGUGCGGCCAGUCUGGGGUCCAUUCGUGCUGCGGUGAGGAUCCCUGCCGUCCACACGGGAGAGAUGCCGAUGCCGUCCAGCGGAAGAUCACUGGGGCACACCUGGCGUGGAACUGUAAGGAUCUGGUUUGCCCUGGGCAAUCCUGACAGCACCUGUUACCCUUGCAUAACUGUUAACAAUAGAGAUACCAAGGGAACAUUUCAUGCAAAGAUGGGCUCGAUAAAGGACAGAAAUGGUAUGGACCUAACAGAAGCAGAAGAUAUUAAGAGGUGGCAAGAAUACACAGAAGAACUGUACAAAGAAGAUCUUCACGACCCAGAUAAUCACGGUGGUGUGAUCACUGACCUAGAGCCAGACAUCCUGGAAUGUGAAGUCAAGUGGGCCUUAGAAAGCAUCACUACAAACAAAGCUAGUGGAGGUGAUGGAAUUCCAGUUGAGCUAUUUCAAAUCCUGAAAGAUGAUGCUGUGAAAGUGCUGCACUCAAUAUGCUAGCAAAUUUGGAAAACUCAGCAGUGGCCACAGGACUGGAAAAGGUCAGUUUUCAUUCCAAUCCCAAAGAAAGGCAAUGCUAAGGAAUGUUCAAACUACCGCACAAUUGCACUCA